CUUGAAGCGCUUCCUCCGGCGCAGGAAGCUGCCGUUGUCGCAUGUCGGCGGACUCAGGGUCGAGCGUCCAGUAGUUGCCUUUGCCGGUUGCCGGGUUCGCGGGGAAUCUUGACGAAGCAGUCGUUGAGCGAGAGAUUGUGGCGGAUGCUGUUCUGCCAGGCGGGGAACUUCUCCCGGUAGUAGGGGAAGCGGCCGCUGAUGAACUCGCAGAUCUCGCUCAGCGUCAGCCGUUUCUUGGGGCUCUGCAGGAUGGCCAUGGUGAUGAGCGCGAUGUACGAGUAGGGCGGCUUCACCAGGGGGUUCUUGGCGCCUCCGCCCGAGCUCACGCUCCCGCCGCCGCUCGCGCCCCGCUGCCGCCGCCACCGGCCCCGCCCCGGUCCCUCCACUGGGGCUGGCCCGGGUGCCGGGACCCCCCCUGUCCGCUGGCACAGCUGUCAUCGUCGUCCUCCUCCUCCUCCAGGUCCUCUAGCUCGUCUUCCCCGGCGUACGAGCGCCGCCGCCGCCGCCGCUGCGCGGGGACAGCCAGCCGGGGCCCGCCACCGCCGCCCUCGUCGUCGUCCUCCUCUUCCUCGUCGUCUUCGUCCUCGCCCUCCCCCACCACGUCGAUGUCUGUCUCCUCGGCGAGGCCAGAGGCAUCGGACAUCUCCGUACUCAGGGUCAUAGCUGUGGCGCGGCGGCGGCGAGGCGGCAUAGGGGCGCCGGGCUCCGGGCUCCCGCCGCGCCCCAGCCCAGGUCUCGGGAGGCGGGCUUGGCCCGGGGGCGCCACGCUGGGGGGGGCGCCCUGCGGCUCACUCGCCGCCCCCCCAGCGUGGAGGCUUGCCUGCGACUUUGUAACUCCUGCACCGCCGCUGUAGCCCCAGGAUCUCCGCGCUCCCUUGGCUCAGCGUGCACCCGGCCGGGGCGGGGGACUUGACCUUCCUCUCUCCCAGCGCCUCUCGCCGGUUCAGUUGAGGAGGGGGUGGCGGGGCCCCGGGCGAGCAAGUUAAAACGUCGGGAGCCCGGAGGGUGCGGGACGGGUUAGAGUCUAGGGACAGAGCUCGGCGAGGAGAGG
rnacentral:lncRNA from 1 species